GUGCUCACUUUAGCAGCACAUAUGCUAAAAUUGGAACAUUACAGAGAUGAUUAGCAUGGCUUCUGCACAAGGAUGACAUGCAAAUUCAUGGAGCAUUCUGUAUUUUU
rnacentral:snRNA from 1 species